GAAAUUCAGCAGUGCAUUAUCUAAAACUGGAACGACACAGACAUUAGUAUGUCCCUUGCACAGAGAAGACACACAACUUCUUGGAGUAGUCAAUAUUUUA
rnacentral:snRNA from 1 species